rnacentral:rRNA from 1 species
UACGAAGGGUGCAAGCGUUACUCGGAAUUACUGGGCGUAAAGCGUGCGUAGGUGGUUUGUUAAGUCUGUUGUGAAAGCCCCGGGCUCAACCUGGGAAUGGCAAUGGAUACGUGGCAGGCUAGAGUGCGGUAGAGGGUAGUGGAAUUCCCGGUGUAGCGGUGAAAUGCGUUGAGAUCCACAGGAACUCCGGUGGCGAAGGCGGCCUG